CCUGAGAUGUCAGGCCCUGGUGGGUCUUACUGGGGAUUUCUGAGCUCCAAAGUUCUCAGCGUGUGGUGGGGUCUCCAAUUGUGGCCACGUGGGCAAAGUCGCCUGGGCAGUUCACAAUCUAAACUGUUGCAGGAUGGCAUGCAGAAUCAGGCUCAGGGCGGACCUGCUGUGCCCCCAGAGCAGAGGACUUUCAAGAGCGGGAACAUCAUUUAAGAGAGGAUGAGCAAGUCAGCCCUCCUUGGGACUCAGGGCUGCAUGGCAAAUGGAGGGGUGCGGUAAAGAGGUGAAGCCGGACCGAGCACCCCCUCCUUGGUGCCAAGGACGCCCCCAAUGCCCCAUGCGUACACACACCCUCACUUUGUUAGAGGAAAUGUGAUUAGUGGAUUUCAGGCUUCUUAAUGGGGCCUGAACCACUGCCCAUCUCCACACCUGAUCCGUAAAUAACUCCAGCACAUUCCCCACGGAGCCCGGUGCUGCCAGGAUCAAUCGGAAGAUUGGCAGAGGCUUCACUCAUCGGCUGACAGCUCCCGAGAGAGGCUGCUGGGGGCUGUGCACCCCGUGCCCACCAGGAGGGUCUCAUUAGCCGUGGUCCGAGUGAAAGGUCGGCACCCGUGGGUGGCUGUUCUCAAACCAGGCAGAGGAGAUGGGAGGGCAGCAUGUCCGCAUCCACAGCUGGGCCUCCUGGGCAGCAGGGAGGGCAGCUUGUCCGUGGCCUCCUCUCCUGGGUCCCCUGGGGCUGGGCAGGGCAGAGGCUCUGGGGCGUUUGCUGACUAGAUUAAUGAGAUGACUCAGGAAUGACAUACCGGUGGCCAGGAAAUGGCAUUGGUGACCUUUCUCCCAGUCACCUCCCCACCACCCAAGCCAGAAAUAAUUAGCUGCCCAUAGAAAGGGGACAUUUGUUGAAACAAGCUCUUCUGCCUUCUUAAAAAUAAUGAUAGUAAAUAAAACAAAAAUUAAAAAUAAUAAUCUUCUCUUAAAAAUAAACAAAAUAGUUUAUUGAGAACGCACUAACUCUGGAACUUGGGGAAACAGCCCCGUCCGGUUUCCUUAUCUUGAACUUGGCUGUGAGAUGGGACUAUCUCCUGCAGUUGUGAAUGUGGUUGGAUAAUAACGCCUGGAAAGGUCGUGCACAGAGGAAGACGCGGUGAGGAUAUGAAGGCAGGUCUGGGCGUCUCCACAGAGGCAGCCCAGCUCCGAAGCACGCCCCUGGUGUGACCAGGCUCCCCACCAUCUGCAGUGUCGGUUCUCCCACAUGGACCCAAGUUGCACUCAGGCUGUGGAAUAAACACCAGCUUCCAAGUCAGGCGGCCAGAGUCCAGAUCCCAAGGUUGUCAUUUCCUCCCCGUGUGACCUAGGGCAAGUGAGGGACCCUCUCUGUGCCUCUUCCCCGGUUGGUUAAGCACGGGGAGGAGAGCCGUCCCCCUCAGGAUGAAGAGAACCUAGGUGUGUGUGGCUCCUGGCAGAGGCCCCAUGCCCGCCGGUGGGCGCUCAGUCAACAUGGACCCUAUCCCUGGUGUCGAGGGUGCGCUGCCCUCCUCUCUCCACCGGCCCAGGAGCGGUGCCAGCCGCCCCAGGCUCAAGGCGGAGACCACCGAGCGGCCAGCCCUCCGCCUGGCGGGAGCUGCCUUCAGCCGGGUCACAUGGCACGCGCUGGGCCGUGCUGAGAGUCUGUCCAUCCCUGAGGAAGGCGUCUCCGUGCUUUCCCUUUUCGGAGCCUGUUUCUCACCUCUGCUGUUUUCACCUUUGUGCAGCAGAAGGUAUUUUCGCAAACGCAGCCGAGGUGGCAGCAAUUUCGCAGCCUGACAGGCGUCCCUGUACACACCGAUGCUAUUUGGGGGAUCCGCAGGUGUAUUGUUUGUAUCAUUAUGGGUCUGUCAACUCCCAGGGAGAGGGAAGAGAGGCUGGGUGCUGCCAGAGGCCCCCAAAGGCCCCGGAGCCCCCCUGUUCCACAGGCACCUCCCCCAGGAAGGCCUCCUGGCCCCCAGGCUCGCUCUGAGCAUGGCCCUGGGGUCUCCCAUUGCAAACCGCCCUUGUCCUCAGCACUAGUGCUCUGUCCCCUGCUCUAGGUCUCAGGCUUCCUAAGGACAGGGCCUAUGCCACCGUCCGUGUCCCCAGCACAGAGCAGGGCUGGGGAAGCAUCCACUGAGAUGAAUUAACACCCGGCGGGCUCUGCAAGUGCCCAGUGCUUCUGAGGUGCUUUCUCUACCUCCGAGCUGCUCUCUGCCCCCCAACAUCACCUGCCAGACUGGGGGUCUCUGUGCUGGCCGGGUGCUGGGGUCUGCGACACAAGAUGACCAGGAGACAGCAGGGCCUGGAGGUGGAGACCCAUGGGUCACAUGGGGGCUGCAGGAGCCCAGAUCAGCCUAGACUGGGGGACCCCAGAGGGCUUCCCAGCAGCGAGGAGUUUGGCCCGCCAUCCCCAGGCUGUGGAACGGGCUAGUCCCCAGCUCUCGCCGUUGCUACAAACAUGGAGCAGGCACAGUUAUGCCCCGAGGAUGCGCACAUAGUAGGGCUCAUCCAGGAUUUAAGUCCCUUCCCCUGGGGCUGGAAGGAGCACUGGCAAUUAGAUCUCCUUCCUUGUUUGAUGAAUAAGGAGACCAUGCCCAGAGAAGUCCAGGGACUAACGGGAGGUCACAGAGUCAUUGUCGGCAGAGCUCGGACACCAUCCACCUCCUGGCUCCCCUGUGCGCAGGCCCAGGCCCCCUGAGGGUCCCCAGGUUGUCUACACAGGUCAUCAAUGCCGCUCUUGCCUCCAGUGCUGACAAAGGGCAAUGGGGAGCCAGCAACAAGGUUCCUGCUGUCACGGAGCACAUGUCCUGCUGGGAGAGUGGACAGUAAACCAGCUAAGAGCUGGAGACGGGUGAUUGCAGGAAGACGAGAGGACAUGGAAUAGUGAAAAGUGUGCCGUGGGCCCAGAGAUAUUGGGUCUGGUAGUCAGGGUGGCCUCCCCAAGGGGAUGGAGUUGGAAUUGAGACUUGAGUGACAUGUUUGGAUCCAGGGGAAGGCAUCCAGGCAGAGGGAGCGGCUGAUGCAGAGGCCCUGGGGUCAAGGGAAGGAACGUGGCUUGCUCAGCGUGUAGCCAGAAGGCAACUCUCGCUGGGAUGUGGGCCCAGGGGAGGUGGCACAAGAUGAGGUCAGAGAUCGGGGUUCAGAGGCCCCAGGAGGACAGGAGCAGAUCACGAAGGCCAUGGGAGGAGUCUGGAUUCACUUGUGCAUCACAGAAGUCCAUGGUGCACAGUGUGGAGGGGGGAGCUGAGGCACGUCACGUCUCAUUGGACGGGUGUGCCAGGGCCUAGGGAGCUCUCUGACCUGGAGGAAGGAGGGCCCCCAAGAAAUGGGUGGCCAAUUAAAACAAUAAGGAUGCCAUCUCUGAUGGCCGUGAAGGCACUGGGGCUGCAGUGUGCAUGGCUCCUGUCACCAGCAUCCCAGAGGCCACUGCCAAGUAUCUCUUGCUGCGUGCUGGGGUCCACUCACAGGGGCCACCAACAGUGAGUUGGGUGAAGUCGCAGCAGCCUCUGAUGCUGCCUGGACCCCAAUGCCCCAAGGCAGGCCUGGCAGACACGGCACGAUUCCCACAGCACCCGGAAGGGGUCCCAGUUCCCCAAAUCCCUCCCCUACCCCCACCUCAUGCCUAAAACCUCUUUAAUGGAGGCAGGUUGAAUCACUGACUUUUUAAAAAAUCAUUUUAUCAUUUUUUUUUCUUUUGGUGAGGAAGACUGGCCCUGAGCUAACAUCUGUUACCAACCUCCCUCUUUUUGCUUGAGGAAGAUUGUGGCUGAGCCAACAUCUGUGCCACUCUUCCUCUGUUUUGUAUGUGGGACGUGCCUCAGCAUGGCCUGAUGAAUGGUGUGUAAGUCCGUGCCUGGGAUCCGAACCUGCGAACCCUGGGCCGCCAAAGAAGAGCAUGUGAACUUAACCAGCAUGCCACCAGGCCAGCCCCCAUUUUAUCCUUUUUAUUUAUUUAUUCUUGAUGACAAACAAUACUUUUUGCAUAAAUCUAAAAAAUAGAAGAAAAUAUGAAGAAACAAAAGAAAAAACAAUCCCCCAAAUCCUGAGGAUUUUCCCCCAGGGAAGUUCACACCAUUUCAGCAAGGGGGUCCAGCUCUGGGAAACGCUGACUUUUACACCCUGAAGUCGAGGGAUGCUGGCGUAAGAUCUCCCUUAAGAGUCAAGUUCAAGGCUCCACCAUAUCCAGGUGAGCACUGAGUGAAGGUGAGCUGGUCGUGUUUGUCUCCAUCCCGAGCCUUGAACUGACUCUCGUAAGCUACUGUCGCUUCUCCAAAUGCAGGGCCACCAGUGACCCCCAAAUAAAGUCCUGGGGAAUUCUGAACCCAGCAGAGCUGAGGCGGCAGCAGGAAAAUCAGGGCAUCAGAGAGAAGGAGAGGGAGGUGGAGGAGCAGAGAAGGAUGGAGGGCAUCUCAACAUCUGCUGCUUGAGGGACCCAGACUAACACAGAGGCUUCCAGCAACCAGAUGUGAGCCCCCAAAGAACUGACAAAGAAAACUCACAGCAUCCCAGGAGGCUCAGAGCCAGGCAGGAGGGGCACAGUUAACCCUGAAUGAGAGCGAGCAACCAGUAUCCUAUCCGUUUCUGAACCAAUCGGGAUGGGAGAGAUUAUACAGCAUGUUAUGGACUGAAUGUUAGCGUCCUCUCCAAAUUCAUAUAUUGGAGCCCUAACCCCCCAAUGUGAUGGUAUUUGGAGGUGGGCCCUUUGGGAUGUGAUCAGGUUUCCAUGAGGUCAUGAUGGUGGGGCCUCCAUGAUGGGAUUAGAGAUCUUUUAUAGAAGAGAAAGAAACCAGAGCUCUUUGUGUGUGUGUGUGUGUGUGUGUGUGUGUGUGUGUGGUGUGUGUGUGUGUCUCUGCCAUGUGAAGACCCAAAGAGAAGGGGGCCAUCUGCAGGAUGAGAGCCCUCACCAGGUACCAGAUCUGCUGGCAUCCCGAUCUUGGACUUCCCAGCCUCCAGAUCUAUGAGAAAUAAAUGUCUGUUAUUUAACCCUCCCUGUCGGUGACAUUUUGUUAUAGCAGCCUGAGUUGACUAAGACAUAGGAGUACCAAAAUCUUUUUUAAUUAAAAAAAUCAGUGGCCUAAAAUUACGAAGGCUUAUUUCUUGCUCGUGUGAGUUGAUAGGUAGCUCUGCUCACCGAGGUCCCUUUAAGACCCAGGCUGACAGACUGUCCCCCCGCCAUGGGCUCCCAUGAUCCCUGACAGGGAAAGGGAACUUGAUACAUCUCACCACGGUCCGGAAAUUUCCUACCCAGAAAUGUCCUACACCAUUUCUGAACACAUCGUGUUGGCCAAAGCAUGCCAUACGGCCAAGCCUGGGACUUCAGUCCAACCUCAAGCCCAGCAAAGACCUUCACCCAAGAAUCCUGUCCUCAGACAAGCUCUCACUCACCUGUGAAGGCGAAAGGAAGGCAUUUGUGAGAGCACCUCCUGAAUCCUUGUCUGUCCACUGCAUCCCUCCUUAGGAAAAGACUCAAGAGAGGACUCAAACCCAAGAAUAAAUGAGACAGAACAGAGCUCACAAAAUGAAGAAAGAUGAAAAGGGAAAGACUUGGUGGCGGCCGCCAUCUUGCUGUGUGCUCACAUGACCUCUUCUUUGUGUACCCACUGGAGAGAGGAACCGGAGAGAGAGAGCUCCAGUGUGUCUUCUGCCAUGUCUUUGACAAUUCUCAUCACCUGGACCUGAAUCGAACAUCUCAAUUUUUGGAGAAAGGCAUAGAAUUAAGUUUCCACUGCCCAGAAACCCGUGGAGAUUUGGGACGAAAGUGGGUUCCUCCACAAAGGAUGUGUUUCCUUCUGUAAGAUGUCUGGUAUGUGUUGGGGGGUACUAUGUGUCUAGGACCACUUUCAAAUUAAUGACUGAUUCGAGGUUUGGGGGAGGCAUUUAAGGACAGUGACUUGGGACUGCAGAUUCAUGGGGGGGCCAAUUUGGGUUGGAAUCAAAGGGUUGACACAGGGAAGUUUUACUUCCACUCUCUAAGUAGGGUCUGGGGUAUUUUCAGUUCACACUUUACUAAGGGCGUAAUCCUCUGAGGUCCCACAUUAAUGGGGAGCCAUCUCCUAUUACCUUCCCCACCCGGUGGGUCCUGAGAUCUUUCUUCCUCCUUCCAGUUUUGUAAGACUGCAACAACGAUGCUCUUGCUUUGGCAAAACGCCUCAAAGUCAAAGUUGGCAUCAAACCUCUCUGGAUUUUGCCUUCCCACAGGUACUGGGUGAGUAUUUCUCACUUUUCUACCAGCCCAUGGGCGCACUUGCAAAUGCAUUUUUGAUAUAAUUACUGUCAUUUUUAGUUGUUUUCAGUAAGAGGCUUCAUCUGGGCCCCUAGUCCAUCAUGUUGACACCCUCUUUUGAUCUUUAUUUAUUAUUUGUCUUAAUCUCUUAAG
ensembl:lncRNA